CCUCGGGGGGCCGUGGUCAGGGAACCGGUGCCAUGGCCUGGCCACCUUUGGGGUCAGCUCUGGGCCUCAGCACCGGCCGGCGGUGGAAUGCGGUGCAGCCAUCUACGGCACCGCGUUCUAGUCUAAAUUUAGACAGCCCAGCAGCGUAGAGGGGAUGUGUUGCAAGAACGUAAUCACGGCGGAGCUGCUGUCAAAUGCAAACAUUUGCUAAAGGUGAUUGCGUGAGCGCUGCACGGGAUUAUCAUUGCCACAUCCUAAUUGUCUUUAACAUUUCCUGCCCUGCCAUGCCACGUCCCAGAGGUUUGGUUUACGUUUCCUGGUGGAAGAUCCCCAGGGAAGGAGGAUUGCAGCAGGAUUGCAGCAGCAUUGCGUCACGGUAGGCUUGUGGCUAUCCCAAUGCUCAGCCCGGGACAGCAUCAACAACUCCACCUGAUUUGAGUGGGGAAUAAACACAGGCAGCAAGUGGCCCCUGCUGGAUACAAACUCUGUUCACAUCAGGAUGCUCCUACUCGGGAGAAUGAAACACCCUACAUCAGCAGGAGGGAAAUGUACACCAUGGAGAGAGAGGAGAAGAUGCGUCCUUUUCAUUUCCAGCAAAAUGGUGCUGCUGUGAUUCGUUUCAGCACACAGAAGUUAUGGAGGUGGAGAAGUCUCCUUGACUACUUAUUUCAACUCAGCCUUUGUAGUUUUGCUCAUUGUUUCUACCCAUCUGUAGAAAUAAUCUUCCUUAUGGGUUCAAUCACGUCCUGUGUGUUUUAAUGAGCCCAGUGCCUGUUGUAGGGAGUGAUGCCAGGAGUAAUGAUCUUUAGCUAUUUCUGUAGGAGAGCAGCUUAGCAGGCCAUAUGUCAGAUUUCCCAGUGAGCGAUUGUUUUGAGUUGUUUUUACACCGUAGUUUCUAUUCAUGAGAUAUUAAAGAAAAUAACAGCAUCUGGUUAAUGAAAUCCCGAAUUUCACCAUAUGAUGAUGCGUAUCAAUCCUGUUCUGUGACUUCCCUUGAAGCAGAUUGUCAGGUCAGUGCGGGGAAUUUCUGUGUGUAGGUGAAUCAGACAUCCUAUACUUUGAUAUUUUAAAGGUGAAGAGCUAAGAGAUGACAACUUGAAAUUUGACAAGACCUGAGUUCAGCUCCUGACACCAAAACAGCCUGCACCACCCUUCUACCACACAGUUGAGGAGACAAAAGGCAGACAGGAGAGACAUACAAGCUAUGAUCUGACCCUACAGCUGGAGGAGUCAAAGCUCACAGAAAAGGAGACUGAAUCAUUUGAAUCUCUGGAUUUCUUGUUCUGCCUCUCCAUUAAGAUCCCCAGAGAUUACUGAGCCCUGUUUCUGACCCUGUUACACAGAGCUGGUGCCUUGCUUCAACCCAGUUGUGAGGGCAGAAGAAACUGCAAACUCUGGCUUGGAUUGUUUGCAAACUGAUGCAAAAACCCUCCCAGGGGUGACCUGUUACCUGUAGUCUGUCACAGCUCCUCUGUGGCUGGCUCAGACCUCUUCUAAAUAAAGGAUUUACCAAAAUAA